CCAAAAUGCAAAAGAGGAGGAGGCAUCCCACAUAGCUGAGAAUUCAGUAAAGGAGUCAGAAAUGUGGAGAAAGACGUAAAAGAAGAAGAAGAAGAAGAAGAAGAAGAAGAAGAAGAAGAAGAAGAAGAAGAAGAAGAAGAAACAAGGGGAUCUCCUUGGAUUUUCUCUGUCCCCGCAUUAAGCUGGGGACUCUUACAUUGCCAUGAAGACUGGGGAGAAAGGACAGAAGGAGAAGAGCAGCACGUCUCCUGGGAUCAUAGGAGCACAGUGCUGGCACCCAGCCCAGCCAGACCUGGAGCUGCAGCACCCUGAGCACCACAGCUGAGGGGAGCAGUGCCUGCCCAUGCCUCUGGGCACUCGCCCAGCAAACCUCGCAGCUGGAACACCAGUAUUCCAGAGGUGAUUGUGGUCUAAUGGGUGAAAUCUCCAGGGAUCAGCUUCCCAAAGAGCAUGCAGAUUUCUCAGAAGGAAGUAUGGUAUAAAGAACCUCAGGCUCCAAACCACCAACCAGAUAAAUCAUUGGUUGUGUCCUAAAUCGAUACCAGAAAGAUCAAAAAAUUGGAAGUCCAAGGAUAUUCGUGAUGAUGUAGAAUUUUGACAGGAAAUGUUGUCUGUGCUUCCCAAAGGUCACUGGAACACAGAGCUUAACACAUAUUUAUCUGUCAUCUCAGCUGUCAUCUCAGACAGAGAUUAACUCAUUUGGCUCCUUUAGUCCAGCACUUGACCAACCCUGACCUGUGCCAUGGAUGCCUUGACUUGUAUCCACUACAGCAGCCCCACAGCUGCUUGUUUCCUGCUUCAGAACAAGCUCAGCUGCAUUGCCUGAAUGAAGCAAUAUUGACUAACAACAACAACAAAAAGUAAAUUUGGCAAUAAGAAGCAGGAGCUGGAUUGACAACUGUGAUAGACAAUCCAAUGAAUAUCUUCAGUCCAUAGAUGGUCUAAAGAAGAUCAAGAACUCCAUUAGUUCUAUUUUGCUAUGCAAUUCUGCAUAGUGGUUUGAAAGAUGAAAAAGACUGAGUAUGUAUAUUGAGUGUCUUUGUAAACAAUUUAUUAAUACUCAGAUAUGAGUAGCGUCAAUACCACUCACACACCAAAAAAAAAUCUGUUUUAUAAUUUUGUCUGCUGUCUUCAAUAAGUUUACUGUGAAAAUGUUACUUUCACAUAAAGGAAAGGAUUAUAUUCAAAAGGUUGGCACUUACAUUUAAAAUACCAUUAAAAUCAUUAGCUUACAUCACUGUGUUUUUUAAAAAAGAGACAUUAGCCCCACUAAGCAUUGUCAGGAAAAUUUAUUUUAAACGUCCAAAUAGAACUUUAGUGCAGGCAAUCACUCAAACUGCCCACAUAUUCUUUACUUCUAAAUUGCUUGGUGGCUUCCAGGGAAGUGAUGCACAUCAUCCUGCACCCUGGCAUUGCUGUGGGAGCUUGGAAGAGCUCAGGAAAGUCCAAACAUUACCAAGUUCAAUAUUUAUUGCUCUGCAUUCAAAUAAACUCUAUUCAUCUGUGUGUUCAGCCAGUUUAAGGACAUGUAGCUAAUAUAGUUUCUGUCUCUUUAAGUGCUGUUUACAAGUCAUAACUUAUCUGUGGAGCAGUGUAACUAUAAAGAAUACACUUUUUGUUACCAAAAGAAUUUUAUCUUACUUUUAACUUUACAAAAGCACUACAGGACUAAAAACAGGAAAUCGUGGCAUAUCCCUUUGAACUUCUUGCUCUGUGUUCAUCCUCCUUUAACACUCUACUACCUCAUCUGACAUCCAGGAACCCUAGUGAAAAAAAAAAAAAAUUAUUGUUACCAGAGAAAAAAUGUCUGUCCUGAGAAAACCCUGCCCUGGCAUGCACAGGAUAUUUCCCUUUUGAGAAGCAUUUCUGAGAAUUGUUUUUAGAUCUGAAAACUAUUUCCAUUUGAUCAUUAAAAUGUAAUUAAGUCUUCAUCACAUAUAGAAUACAUAUGAAUAUGUUGACAUAUGAAUCAUGUCAACAAAAUGCGAGUUCAGAUCUGCCUUACUUUACAACUAGAAAGUUCUACCUUUUACAUGAGUCUUCAUUCUACACUGAUAAAAAAACAUGGCAUAAAUUUGAACUGAAAUG